ACAAGCCUGUCCACCUGAUGGAGGCCAGUCGCUGUGGUUCAAAGCCAACAUCGACUACGUGGACUUCUACUGGACCACAUGGAGGCCUUCAAACCGGACCAACAAGUUCAGCGACUCCCCGACUCGUGGGUCUGAGGACGCCGCCGAGCCUCGGUCCAGCCGGCCUCCUGUCUGUGGGUGUUUGAGUGCUGAGAGUUUUGUGGAUGCAUGUGAACGUUCUGUGUUGAAACAGCAGCUUUUGACUCAGUAACGCCAGGAAAAACCAAGAGCUCCUUUAUUUGUGACUUCCACUAAAAAACUGAUGAAAAUAAUUUUGCCAGGGUUCUGACUGUUAACAGAUUAUUAAAUAAUGAAAAUAAUCGUUUAAAUAUUCCUUUAAACAAUCCUUUCAGGUCUACAUUUCCUUUACACUGACUUCUUGGUAUAUGUACAAGUAUUUUAGGUGGAAUAUACCAUUAAGCCUGUUCUUCUGGGAAUAUACCAUUAAACCAACCUUUUAGGUAAAUGUUCCAGGAUGUUAGGUAGAAUAUACCAUCAGAUCAACCUUUUAGGUCUACAUUGGAAGAUUUUAGAGUAGAAUAUUACUCCAAACCAUCCUUUAGGUCUACAUUUAAGGUGGAAUACUCCUUUACACCAAGAUUUUUUGGUCUGCAUUGAAGGAUUUUAGGUGGAAUAUUCCUUUGAACGAACUUUUUAAGUUUAUGUUCAAGGAUGUUGGGUGGAAUAUACCAUCAGACCAACCUCCAAGGUCUACAGUAGUGAAUUUUAGGUGGAAUAUACCAUUAAACUCACCUUUUAGGUCUACAUUGGAUGAUUUUAGGUGGAAUUUUCUUCCAAACCGUCUUUUAGUCUACAUUUAAGGAUGUUUAGGAUGGUAUAUUCUUCCAAACCAACUUCUCAGGUCUACAUUUCAGGUGGAAUAUUCCUCCAUACUAACUUUUUUGGUCUACAUUGAAGGAUUUUUUCUAAACCACCCUUCCGGGUCUAUAUUUGAGGUUUUAGGUGGAAUAUUCCUCCAUACUAACUUUUUUGGUCUACAUUGAAGGAUUUUUUCUAAACCACCCUUUCGGGUCUAUAUUUGAGGUUUUAGGUGGAAUAUUCCUUUUAACCAGCCCCUCAGGUCUCUUUCAGGAUUUUGGAUGGAAUACUCUGUUAAACCAACAUUUUAGGUGCAUGUCCAAGGAUUUUUGGUGGAAUGUUCCUUUAAGGUGGAUGUUUGAGGACCUUGUAGAUGGAAUACUUCCUGAAACCAACCUUUCAGGUCAACAUUCAAAGAUUUAAGGUGGAAUAUUCCUUUAAACCAACCUAAAUUUCAUGUUUUGAUCAUUAUCAAGUGAGAAACCUCAAUCCAGACUCCUCAUAAUGACGUUUGAGAUUUAUGCUGCUGUUAUUUGUUUAGUCCAGACUAAAUGACAGAAAUCCACAACUGUAAUUUUAUUUCAGGACUCGGUUAUUAAAUGUCCAAACAAUCCAUGUGACUCUAAAAACUCAACAGCUUUACAAACUCUAAGAUUAAACUCUCCACAAGGAUCCAAAAUAAGUUGGACUUCUACAUGAGAGCUUUAAUUAUUCUUCAUCUACUUCCUGAAAAAUUUGGUCAAUAAAAAAGACAAAAACUAAUAUUUUCAGCUGAACUAAAGACAGACUUUGUGAUUUUUAUGCUCACAUGUUGUGUUGUUGUAAACUUACUCUUUCAAAUAAAUAUCCGCCUAACCCCCUGGAAA